rnacentral:rRNA from 1 species
GAUGAACGCUAGCGGCAGGCCUAAUACAUGCAAGUCGGACGGGAUUGGAGAGAUUGCUUUCCAUGGGAGUGGCGCACGGGUGGGUAACACGUAUGCAACCUACCUUUAGAAGGGGGAGAGCCUCUCGAAAGAGAGAUUAACACCGCAUAAAAUUAGUGUAUGGCAUCAUAAAGUGAUCAAAGAUUUAUAGGAUAAAGAAGGGCAUGGGGAACAUUAGCUAGUUGGUAAGGUAACGGCUUACCAAGGCGACGAUGUUUAGGGGAUCUGAGAGGGCGACCACCCUCACUGGUACUGAGAGACGAAACAGACUCCUGCGGGAGGCAGCAGUAAGGAAUAUUGGUGAAUGGGCGGAAGCCUGAACCAGCCAUGCCGCGUGCAGGAAGACGGCGCUACGGGUUGUAAACUGCUUGUGUACGGGAAUAAACCUGGAUACGUGUAUCAAGCUGAAUGUACCGUAAGAAUAAGGAUCGGCUAACUCCGUGCCAGCCGCCGCGGUAAUAC